rnacentral:tRNA from 1 species
GGCCUCGUUGCUCAGCUGGUAGACCGUGCGCGUGCAAAGCGUAGGUGGCAUCCAUGUGUGGGUUCGAAUCCAACCGAAGCUA